rnacentral:rRNA from 1 species
AUGGCGAGCCCGUGGGACAGCCCUUCGAGCAGCCUGUGGGGCACGCUGGGGCAGGCCUCCAACGUGGCGCAGCUGGUGGGCGUGGACGCGCUGGGGCUGGUCUACAUGGUCGUGCAGGCCGCCCUGGCGGCGCGCCGUCACCGGGACGCCUGCGUGCGGCUCGCGCAGCACGUGGAGCUCGUCGGCGGCCUGCUCAGGGAGCUGGAGCUCGCGGAGCUGAUGCGGCGGGAGGCCACCAGGCGGCCGCUGGAGCAGCUCGGCGGCGCGCUGCGGCGGUGCUACGCGCUCGUCACGGCGUGCCAGGACUGCGGGUACCUCCGCCGACUGCUUCUGGGCACACGGAUGGCCGACGAGCUCCGCGCUGCGCAGCACGAGAUCGACAUGUUCAUCCGCCUCAUCCCGCUCAUCUCCCUCGUCGACAAUUCGACAAACAGUCGUCGUGCCAAGCAGGCCGAGGAGGGGGUACUCAGUGUUGUCACAGACAAUUCAAGUAGUCACAUCAGGAGUGUGUUGAAACCAUCUCCAGCAAGAGCUUUGGAAUUCUCCGAAAUACAGGUUCAAGGAGCUACUGAACUUUGCACUGUUGGAAAAAAACCAUCUGUAGGAAAAGUUGACCUGCAAGAACAGAAAAUUUUCAAUAUUGAAGAACUCGCUGAGCUUUGUACCCGUAUAGAAGAAACUUGUGUGGGAUUUGCAAAGUUCAACUUCUUUCAGAUCGUGGAUGCAACAGACAAUUUCUCAGAGAGGAGAAUACUUGGGUUUGGUGGAUUCGGUACAGUUUAUAAGGGUCAGUUGCCCAACGGACUUAUGAUUGCCAUCAAAAGACUUGAUGAGCAUGCAACGAUAUUUGAUUUCGACAGUGAAUUGCAGCUUGCAAAGCUUCAGCAUGCCAAUCUGAUUAGGUUGCUGGGGUGGUGCAUUCAUGGGAAAGAAAGGAUUCUUGUCUAUGAGUUCAUGCAAAAUAGUUCCUUGGACCAUUACAUAUCUGACAGAACAAAAGGACAAUUGCUAGACUGGUCUAAGCGAUUCAAGAUAAUUACAGGGUUAACAGAGGGCCUUGUUUACCUGCAUAAAGGUUCCAUGUCCUGCCUUGUCCAUAGAGACUUGAAACCACAUAAUAUCCUCUUGGAUUAUAACAUGAGCCCAAAGAUUACUGAUUUUGGGUCAGCUAGGACACUGAGUUCAGAUAUAGCAGAAGGGUGCACGAGUAGGGUCGUGGGAACCAGUGGUUACAAAGCUCCAGAGUAUGCAUCUCGAGGAGUUUACUCGACGAAGACAGAUGUGUUCAGCUUUGGUGUUUUGGUUCUGGUGAUUAUUAGUGGCCGAAAGAAUACCAUACUCGAGAAGCAAGAGGAUACUGUUGGUGAUCUUGUACGAGAUGCCUGGCAUAUGUGGAAGGACCAAAGGUUGCAUGAGCUUGUGGAUCCAUUGUUAGGGGACAGAUAUGAAGUCGCUGAGAUAAAGAGAUGUGCUCAGGUGGCACUGCUUUGUGCUCAGGAAGAUCCAGCAGACCGGCCCGCCAUGACAGGUGUUGCUGCAAUGCUGAAUUCUGAAAGCAUAAGCUUACCAAUGGAGCCUAAGCAGCCUUCUGCGCUGAUCCAUGGGUGCACCGACAGAGAGACGACAUCGACAUACAUUGGCCAAUCAAGCAGGACAAUAGACAUAACGAUAACGAGUUCAGCUCCAAUGUCGACUAGAGUUCGAAUCAUUCUAGACCCGGAGGUUUGA